GACCACUUAAUGAUUUUUCUGCCUGUUUUAGCAAUUGUAAUGCGGUGUGCUAGAUACCGCAUAGUUUUUAAUAGUGGUGUUACAGGAUUGGGGGUUUGGUUUGUGUUGCUGCGCGCCACCCAAUCUGAGUGGUUUGAGACAGCCAGAGAUUCAGUGGACGCAGGGUUUUGUUUCCUUGGACAGAAGGUCAGCGGAGACUGAUGCUUGUCUAGACUUGGUCAGAAACAGGUGUGUUGCCAUACAAAGGAAUAACUGGCAGAUGAUGUUCUUCCAGGAGCGUAGGCCUUCCCCUGCUGACCUGGCUGGAGGGCAUCUUCUAGGCUGCAUUCCCACUGCACAAAAGUCAGUAGCUCUGCAUCCAGACCAGCAAGACGCAUUAUAACAGUUCAAAGACACAUUCCAGCCAGGCAGAAGUACUUGAGGAGGGUGAGGAGCAAGGCCAUUAUCGGGUGUGGACUGAGAAGGAGGCCGAGUCUGAGGACAGUUCCGAGGGCCAGAUGGAGAGGUCUGGAGGACCACAUUUGGUCUCCGGGCCUGAGGUUCCCCACUUCUGAAAUACAGGAGGAAAGAUGGAAUAAACAAAUGGACAAACAACAUACAGGACUGAACUAAAGAAGAUACCAAAACAAUUCAUUUAUACCUUUUAAAAAAAUUAUAUGUAAUUAUCUGCAUUCCCUAAAAUCUCAGUAUUUUUGUAUCUGUUUAAAUGUGUAUACAUAUCUAUUGACUGGGAUAGACAGUACAGGCCUUUCUUGGUGGUGGCACCCAGACUGUGAAACUCCUCUCCCAAGAGAGGCUUGCCUGCUGCCUCCCCUUUGCUGGCCUUUGGGCAGUUCUACAAGCCUUUGAACUGAUUUGAGUUUUUACUCCUGUUAUUUUGAUUGGUUUUAUUUCGGGGGGUGCGUGUGUUGUUGCUGGAAUUGUUUUAAUGGUUUUCAUGCCCUCUCUUUUAUUAUGUUGUUGUUUGAUGCUGAAUUUGUAAUGUGAUGGUUGUUGACGGGACUCUUCAGACUGAA